rnacentral:rRNA from 1 species
UCUGCCGAUCAUACCAGCACUAAAGCACCGGAUUCCAUCAGAAAUCCGAAGUUAAGCGUGCAUGGGUGAGAGUACUACUAGGAUGCGUGACAUGUCCGAUGCGAUCAUACCAGCACUAAAG